rnacentral:rRNA from 1 species
GCUUAACACAUGCAAGUCGAACGGAAAGGCCCUGCUUUUGUGGGGUGCUCGAGUGGCGAACGGGUGAGUAACACGUGAGUAACCUGCCCUUGACUUUGGGAUAACUUCAGGAAACUGGGGCUAAUACCGGAUAGGAGCUCCUGCUGCAUGGUGGGGGUUGGAAAGUUUCGGCGGUUGGGGAUGGACUCGCGGCUUAUCAGCUUGUUGGUGGGGUAGUGGCUUACCAAGGCUUUGACGGGUAGCCGGCCUGAGAGGGUGACCGGCCACAUUGGGACUGAGAUACGGCCCAGACUCCUACGGGAGGCAGCAGUGGGGAAUAUUGCACAAUGGGCGGAAGCCUGAUGCAGCAACGCCGCGUGCGGGAUGACGGCCUUCGGGUUGUAAACCGCUUUCGCCUGUGACGAAGCGUGAGUGACGGUAAUGGGUAAAGAAGCACCGGCUAACUACGUGCCAGCAGCCGCGGUGAUACGUAGGGUGCGAGCGUUGUCCGGAUUUAUUGGGCGUAAAGGGCUCGUAGGUGGUUGAUCGCGUCGGAAGUGUAAUCUUGGGGCUUAACCCUGAGCGUGCUUUCGAUACGGGUUGACUUGAGGAUGGUAGGGGAGAAUGGAAUUCCUGGUGGAGCGGUGGAAUGCGCAGAUAUCAGGAGGAACACCAGUGGCGAAGGCGGUUCUCUGGGCCUUUCCUGACGCUGAGGAGCGAAAGCGUGGGGAGCGAACAGGCUUAGAUACCCUGGUAGUCCACGCUGUAAACGGUGGGUACUAGGUGUGGGGUCCAUUCCACGGGUUCCGUGCCGUAGCUAACGCUUUAAGUACCCCGCCUGAGGAGUACGGCCGCAAGGCU